GAAGAGAGAGAAAAUGAUGAUGGCUUGGCAUGGGGACUUGAAGCAAAGCAUUUAUGGGGGUCUUGACAGCCCUCACUUUCACUCUCUCUCUCCCCCAUUCGGCCUCCAAGCGGACGAGCUCCUCUCUUCCUCGUUUUCCCUCUCCUUCAGUUUCUGCUCCAGCUGACCCUUUGUCAAAGAAUCGAGUCAAAAGUGGUCUUCCCGGAUGAAUAAGCCAACGAUCCACCUAUCACAGUGACCGGGAGAGACAAACCGUUCCAACGAGCCCAGUUUCGUCCUGAACGGAGCUGCCGGUCGUCCUGUACGGCCAUCUCAAGACGCCGGUCGCCGGACCGCCUGGUUCCGCCCUGCUUCGCCUGUUUCGACUUUGCAGCCCGUUUUCUUCCAUUCCAGCCGUUCCUUUGCUCAUCCCAACCUCCAACAAGACUCCCAAGACCCCCGGGUGUCACCGGUUGCCAGCCACCCUCCUCGCCGGAGCUCCGGCCAAGCCGUUCAACUCAGUUUCUCCUCCGGCAGGACUGUUUUUCAGUAUUUUCAGUGGGAGUCCGAGCUCUGGUUGCUGUGUUGAGCUUGGGACCGCCUUGGAUCGUCGUGGUAGAGGUCCCGGAGCGUCGCCUCUGUCGUCGCCGCCGCGUCGGUGUCUCCGGCCCGCUUAACGGGUGAGUUUAGCUCCUAAUCCUUUGAUUAGUGCCUAAACUUGCUUAGGGUUGGUUUAGUUAGAUUUAAUUCUAGUUUAAGUGAUUUAAUUAAGUUGUAUUAGCCCUAAGAUAGGUGGUUAGAUGGAUGAAUUAAAUUAGUCUAGCCUAAUCUUCUUUAUUUGCUUAAUGUGGUUUAUGUGGUUAAUUAAGUAUGCUUGGCUUUAAUUAAUUGAUGGUUGCUUUAAUUAAUGCUUUUAAUGAUUUCUGAAUUUAAUUUAUAGUUUAUUAAAUUCUGGAAAUUUACUGUUCAUGCGACACUAUUCACGAUUUACUGUUCACGAGCACUGUUCACGUGCACUGUUCAUCCAUAAUGCGAAAAGUGUCUAAAAUUCAUAUGUGUUGAUUUUAUGAAGUAAAUGGAUGUGAAAAUGCAUGGGCAUCUGCAUGAAUUGAGUGAUGAUUGUGCAAUUGUGUGGUGAUUGGAAAUUUGGUAUUUAUUCAGAAAAUCCCGGGUGUCGGGUUUUGACACCGAAAAUGGAUUUUAAGUAUUAUAUCGAACAGUGGGGUUUGAAAAAGGAAAGUAUCAGUUUUCUGGUUCGAAUUAACGUGUGCCCACGCACGACUACUUUCUCAGAUGUUUUUAAUACGAAGGAAAGAGGCCAGGAUUACUAUUUUAAUCGGGGCAUUUGAGUGAAAUGCAAAGUGUCCUGGGCCGAUAUUGAAUUUUCGUGUGUUGGUUAAGAGGAAACCGUCCCGGGCUGUUGAGCUGGACGUGCCCCUAUAUGGGAUGCCCGCGCAAUGGAUGCCGGUCGCAGUAGAGGCUGGGCCGAAUGGACCGAUGCUCCUUCGGGAAUGCCAUCGACGUAGUGACGAAGCCGUGCUCCAAGGGGGGGAGACGAUGCUCCUUCGGGAAUGCCGUCGAAGUAGUGACGAAGCCGUGCUCCAUGGGGGGGAGACGAUGCCUGGCAUUAAUGUCAGUAGAUAGCCGAACUGUGAGUAGGCUAUGCCCUUGAGUGGCAGUGAAUAACAAUUGGAACGCAUGUUGGGUGUUGAUUGACGCGUUGGAUUAUGGGACGGAAUUGUGUGGCACGGUAUGGGACGUGUCAUAAUGAUUCGGUCUUAUAAUCAGGACCCCUGUGAUUAAUUGAGUGGAUAAGACGUUUCAAUUGUUGUAUGCAUUGAAUAUAUGCAUGAUAUUGUUGAACUGUGAUAAUGUGCAAGAAUGCAUGAGAAUCAUGGUAUCUGCGAUUUCGGUCAUACGUGAGUUAAGCACAUUGUUUAUGGCAUGCGUGCAUGAAUCGAUAACAUGCAGGGUGUGGCAAUGGCCAGGUGAGAUCGCUUGUGAUGCGACUCAUAUGUGAUUGAUGAAAUGUAUCAUCUAAUGGCCAUGUGCAUUACAUGUAUUGUGCUGAAUUAUAACGUGCAGGGUAUGGCAUACCAGGUAAGGUUGUAUGCGAAUCGACUGUUGGUUGUUGCUUGUCGUGGGGUAGUUCUGGAUAGAUACCCUGGGUUGAGUUGGUGUACUAACCGGGGCUUAGGGGUAGAACUUGCUGAGACGUUGUCUCAGUGGUUAUUGAAUAACCAUUUCAGGACCUGGAUGAGGAGCCUAAUGAGCAUGAAUCUGAUGAGGAGAUCCCUGUUGAGGAACCCGAAGAGGAGUACGUGGAGGAGGACCCCGAGUACGACCCGGAUGAGGACUGAGAUCCCGUCCUAUCUUGUCA
rnacentral:lncRNA from 1 species